ensembl:lncRNA
GUGAGUCCCUGGGGGAGGCAUGUGUUCGCCAGGAAGCUAGUACAAAGACCCUCACCCAGGGGUGCAUGCUCAGUGAAAGCUCUUGUCCCCUGAUUUGAGUGCCCAUUGUCGGUUAUUAAUGGUGCUCACACAGAAUGCAGUGCGUGGCUGGGGCCUGCUCAGCGGCUGGCAGUCUGGACCUCAACAAAGGCUGCAGCUGUUGUUGUUGUCUUCACUUAACUUCAGAAUGACCUGAAAUUACAUCCCCCAGUGGUGAAUCAGCCAGAAUAGCACACCGUUGAGGAUGUUAAUUAACCCCCUACAGGAUACACAAGAUAGAAAAUAACCACUUGGAGAGCUGCAGAGUCUCCCUAAUCCUCAUCAGAUCAAUGCAGCUGCCAUCGCUCUGGGCACAUUUCUUUUCAGUGCCAGGAAUGGUGCCAAAUGAGAGGCUCUGGGGGCUUCCAGCCUCCCUGCCCUUCUGCCACCAGGGAUCACCAGCCAGGGUUUGAUGACUUGAUCUGACAGAGGUGUUUGGUCCCCUGGGAUCCCCUCCUCCUCUCAGUGUGUCUGCCUGCAUGGCUCACAGAGGUGCAGAUGGCUGGCCUGGCUGGCCACUCAACAGUGUAAGAAAUGUGGUCCUUAAUGAGAAGGACUGGAUUGGCUUUAAUAGAAUGAUUGGAGGUUCUCAUUGGCUGAAAUUCUCUUAUCUCUUACCAGAUUAUGGGGGAAAACAGAGAGGGCUCUAUUCACUGGCCGUUAGGCUACCCCUUCUACAGUCUUUAGUGGAUGGAAGAAGACAUACAAAGCGUGGGUGUUUAUGAGUGUUACAGGAGAGCAGUCAGUGUCCAUGAGACCCUACUUGCUGGUAGUUACCGAAAUCGCAAGUCUAUGCGCCGGCCGCACAGUGAGGCCCAUCAGUACUAAAACAUUAGCGUUUGGAACAGAGAAAGGUUUAUUACAGGUUCAUACAAGGAAAUGGGUGGAGAUUCAUGCCCUAAGAACCCCAAAGUUACCGAAAGCUUUCAGGAAGUCCCUUUAAAAGCAAAAGGUGACAGAUGGGUGUGGUUAGUUGUUGCAAAUUUCUCCGUGUCAGGUCCUUCAUUCUUGAGGUCUGGUCAUAGUCAGGUAAUGAUGAUCCUGUAAAUCUCUACCAGAUGAAUGGUAUUCUCUGUCCUGACUAGAAAGGGCAAGAUCCCAAAGCACAACUUUCACCCUCCAAGGUCCCAGUCCUGACUAAGAGGAGGCAGAUCUCAGUUGGCAGCUCCUUCAGGGCCAGGUUCCCACACCCUUCCCAGCUGUCAUCCCCGAGGGAACCAGACAUCCAACCCAACUGGUCCUCAGUCUCCUCAGGUCACCCAAACGGGGAGACCAGGUCUCACAGGUCAGGCAGACGGCCAUUGCUAUUAGGUCACAGAGAUAGGGAGAGGGAAGAGGUUCACUGCUCCUUAAGGCCUGGGCCAUGGCUAGUGGAGGGCCUUGGUGAGGGCUCUGGAGCCUUGCAGGACAUAGUCCCCAGUCUGUUCCCUGGGCCCUCCAGCUCACCUGCUGGCCCAAGGCUGAGUGAGCUGGAGGGUCUCCAGGAGAAGGCCUGAAUCGGCCUCUUACUUCAAGCUCCACCUGACGCCCAUCACACCAGUGACCUUUUCUUCAAUCACUUCUCCAGUGGUUCCUCAUUGACAGUUACUUGUGAGCAGGGUCCAUUGCGGUGCUGACCAAUAGCUUAGCAGGACGAGUAAUGGUUGUUCAUUGACAGUUAGUUGCUUGUGGGUGGGGCCAUCUGAGGCACCAAUCAAUGGCUAAGACCUGUUGCCUAGUAACAGGGUGUGGAGUAUCGAGACACAGCAAUGGCUGCCUGCGAAGGGCUCUGUUCAUCUUGCUUUAUUGCAGUAACAGUAAGAACAGUAGAGGAAGAAAUUGAGAUUCAGUACAGUAAUUUGCUCAAGCUGACACGGCUGAAAGAGGGUCUCACUCAGAACCCACCUAUCAAAGAACUCAUGGCCCUACAUAGUCAGUGGUCACUCUCCCUAACAUUGGGGACUUCUGAGUGUCUGCCUGUUUCCAAGACAAUCUCAUUGCCUUGAGUCAUGAUGGGCAGAGAAAAUACCCUGGACAGCUUGGGAUCUUCAUACGUGGAGAGAGAACUGAGAACAACUUCUGUAAAUAUAAUAUUAUAAAGUUAUUAAGGUUGUAAUAAAACAGAUUGAUUUAAAAAAGAAAAAGAUCCACGUACAUGUAUAUGAUCAGUUUAUUCAGAAUGAGAGGGAUUUUUUAAAAUCAUCAUCUUGGGAGACUGUAAUUCCUUCCAAAUACUAUCUAAAAUGCUUUCCAUUCCAUUUACAAACUGUGUUCACAACUUGUUCACACUCUCCUUCCUUUCUGGUUUCGGUUGGCUACAGCCCCACCACAUAAUGAUGUCUCCCAGCUUGAUCACAUACCUUGCUCAC